rnacentral:misc_RNA from 1 species
CGCACACCAGUGUGAAGUGAUUCGCCUAAGGCUCGCGAUCAGCUGUUCCUUAAUCUCUGCCUGGCACUCUUGUAGAUUUUCUAUUUUGCUGCAUUCAUCGCAGUGACAUGCAAGUUCCAAGUGUUUAACUUACAUGUGAAGGUUUAUUUUUAGUCGUUUAAGAAUGCUUUGUAAUAAUUUAAAACCGUACCGAAGUAACGUGAUCGGGUGUUGUACCGCGAUUUAACGUCACUCUAACCCGGAUGUGAGGACAAUAUCCAACCGCCUUACAUUGGAUACAAUAUUGUGUAAAUGUUUUGUGAUAAAGACAAUUCUAUGCCCCUUGUGUUUUGAUUUUUGUCAGUGGGCAAGUUUGCCAUAUACUGUUGAAACAUGAAGAGAGCUAAACAGAAUGUUUUUCGUGACAUCUACAAUCAGCCUUACGACGAUACCACGAGACUCAAACUUUAUACAAGUAGCAAAGCAAGCCUACAACUCAUGCAGCGAAUGUCGCUAUUGAAGAGAUUGAAGGUCCACAACGGUUGUGUCAAUUCAAUUUGCUGGAAUAAUAGUGGAGAGUUGUUAUUAUCUGGGAGCGAUGAUCAACAUUUGGUUUUAACCAAUGCAUACAAUUAUCAGGUGCUGACAGAUUAUAAAACAAGUCACAGGGCAAAUAUUUUCAGUGCAAAAUUUUUGCCAAACAGUGGUGAUCAUCGCAUUAUAUCAUGCAGUGGCGACGGUAUUAUUCUUUAUACAGAUCUGAUGAGAAGGGCAGAGACAUUUAAUAAUCAAUUCACAUGCCACAGCGGAACCACUUAUGAAAUUGCUACUAUACCCAAUGAACCGCACAGUUUUCUCAGUUGCGGAGAAGACGGAACUGUCAGAUGGUUUGAUCUCAGAGUCAAGGACAAAUGUAACUCCUCAAGGUGCAAAGAUGAUGUACUGAUCUCGUGUCAAAGAGCCGUAACAGCUCUAUCUGUUAAUCCACUUAUGCCUCAUCAACUGGCGAUUGGAUGUUCUGAUAGCACAGUGCGAACUUUUGAUAGAAGAAUGCUUGGGACCCCAGCCACAGGUUGGACUGAUAAUGGUGGGUCAGUGAGACCACUGUGCAGCUUCACCGUUCCCGAAUUUGAAGGGAAUUCAUACAGAAUAACAUCGUUGAGUUAUAGUCCAGAUGGACAAGACGUCCUCGUCAGCUACAGCAGCGAUCACCUUUAUUUAUUUAGCGUAAAGGAUCAAGGCAGUGUACAUUUGAAAAAAGACUCUGUCCUCGGUAAGGGCAAAGGGAAGAAACAUCCUCUGAGAUCCCCUCAGCCAGUAAGAAGAUUGAGACUCAGAGGUGAUUGGUCUGACACUGGGCCUGAUGCACGUCCGGAACGUGAAGGUGGUCGCCGUGGUGGGACUGAAAUAGCUCAAGCUCGUCCUGUGCUGCAUACAUCGUUGAUGCAGAGAAUGACAGAUGUUCUCAGUCGUAUGUUGAAUGACCCUGCUACUCGAGCUGCGCUUAGCGGCGGUGGUGAAGAUAGCCUUGAAGGUGUUGUAGAUCAACAAGAGGAGAGUAAUCAAAAUGCAAGUGAUAAUGUUGAGAACAACAAUGAAGUGAGCGGCGACAGAGCGAGCGAUGAAGUCGAAUCACUGGAAGGAAUAACGGAGCCUGUCGUUGCAGAGCCAAGCGGUAACAGUCAAGUAGAAAGUUUGAAUUUGAUUGAAACCGUGGCUCCAACUACCGACAGUAUAAUGGUAGAUGCAAAUGCUGAAGAGUUCGAAAAUAACUCAAGCGUUCCUGUUAUACCUCCAUCUGAGUUACCUACAGCUGUACCUGCAUUGACCGAGAACAGAUCAAUUCUCACCAAAUCUGAUGAUGUUCCUAUGGAAACUGAUUCUAGUCAUACCGAUGUAUCAAAGGCUUCCAUCCAAUCACUGAAAUCACUCAGUAUAUCGAGGUUAGAUAACCAGAAUAGAGCGGACAGUGCAGUUCCCAGCACAAGUAUUGACGCUAAUAGAGAAGAUAGUAUGAUAGAAAAUCUGCAAGACAGAUUAACCACCAUGCGAGAUGGAUUUCUUGAACGUCAUGGCAGUGAACCAGCUGUAAGUUUAACCUACUCUGACAGAAGUUCAACAGGUGCUACCAUUUCUCUAGGUGUUGGAGACGAAGUCAUUCGUGAUGGUUUUCAUCCAGGUCCAUCCAGUAGCCAAAAUGCUAACAGUGCAAUAGAUAAUGUGGGGCCAAGUCUAAAUCGCAACAAACAACCGACAUGUAAUACAACUGAAGAUUCCGACGAAGAUGUGUAUAACGACAGUGAUGAUGAGGACAUCAGUCCAACCAGGAGGAAUGUGAAUCCGAUUGAAACAGAGAUGGAUGAGGCUAUAGCGAGUGCUCGUGGAUCCCAGGGUCAUGAAAUGUUUGAUGAAAGUUGUCUAACAGAAUUAAGAGUCAAACAGAAAUAUAUGGGUCAUCGUAAUGCGAGUUUCUUUAGGACCAUGAUUAAAGAAGCUAACUUUUGGGGUGACGAUUACGUCAUGUCUGGCAGUGACUGUGGGCAUGUCUUUAUUUGGGAAAGAAGUACAGCGAACCUGUGUAUGCUUCUCGAGGCUGAUCAGCACGUAGUUAAUUGCCUACAGCCGCACCCCUACCUACCAAUGUUAGCCACCUCGGGAAUUGAUUAUGAUGUCAAAUUAUGGGCGCCAAUUAAUGAGGAAACGAGUUUUGACGAUAAAUUUGCCGAAGAUCUCAAGAAACGUAAUGCCGUUAUGUUGGAAGAGACCAAAGAUACCAUCACAGUGCCUGCAGUAUUUAUGAUCAGGAUGUUGGCAUGCCUCAACCAGAUACGCAGAGGUAGCGAAAACUUAUAAUCUUUGAGCUCCGCACUUUGUGUGCCAAGCAAAUUCGAUAGAUAAUUUAUAUAGUAACGUUAUCUACCUCGUACCCGGCUUAAGAAAAUGGGCGUGGACGUAACAGAAGGAGAAGUGGAGAUGAAACCGACGAAUUGAGAGGUGGAUAGAAAACGUGCAAUCCGCAAAAUGUUUUAACAUUCAAAGCUUGUAUUUUAGAUAGUACGUGAUCCAACGACGGUUGGUAUAGAAGAGCUACGAAUAAUCGGAUUCAUCCAAUAGAUAAUUUUAUCCAUAUCACGAUUUUGUUAAUUUCACUGUUUGGCUUGCAGACCGACGAGUAUUAGCGUGUGGCGAAGGUAAAACAAAUUUGCCCAUGAGAUCACUGAGAACUAGUACAUUUUUACCGUAAAAGCUUCCUCGCAUUGCCCCAUCUUACGUAAAUCAAGUCGCAGUGUUGUCGUAAGAAAAACGAUAAUAUAGUUUUCAUACGCUAACUAUCAAUUAAAGGUUCUUAACGCGUUAAAAAUUAUUACCCGUUUGAAAAUUUAAUCGCUUUGUCGGCACGUCGUAUGUUUCGAUUACUUCUACUAUUUAUCAUCCACCGAACUGAGAAAGUCAACCAGCUUAGACGUUCAGUUGUUAAAAGUUGAACAAUGCGUUCUUCGCAAGUUUUGCCAUAAUUUUAAUUAUCCAGUACAGCUAUAAGUACACGAAAUCGAACGAAUUUCCAAUCAUUAGAAUUUUUUUUAUUAUAUUGUACAGGAUACUCACGAGUUACGAGGUGACAUUAUUAUUCAGAGUAACAUAAAUAAUAUUCUUAUGAAUCUGAAUAUGUAAAUUCAUUGACAUCGAGGUACGCAAUGAAAUUUUACGGAUAGUCAAAAGGGUGAAAAUUUUACCCAAUUGUUGUGGACACAAGUCUUGAAUAAUAUAUCAGCUUGGAGCUUAAUAUUAGAUGAAAGAUGUUCCGAUUUUCAAGUAAACUGCAGUGAUAUGAAGAGUAAUUAUCAGCUAAUAAAUAAUUACGAUGAUAACAGUGACAUUGUCACAAUGAUAUUGAAUCAAAAGCCAUUAUAGAACUGAACGUGCUUCGUUGAUCUGUAUAUGGAAUUGAAGUUUAUUUGAUUUGUCUGUUUUUCAAUCCUCUACUUUUAUUUUUUGAAAUAUAUAUGUAUAUUUCUAAUAAUCUAAUGUAGAGAUGAAUGUUGCAUUUCUCCUCAGUUACUGUACUGUAAUAAUAUACGUAGUCGUGUAUGUUUUCGGACUGUUUAAUUUUAAUUGUUAUACGAAAGUGAGAGAAGGAUUAAAAAAUAAAAGAAAAGAAAAUAAAAAUAGCAAAUAGGUAUUGAAAAAUAUUUUUUGAACCAGAGUGCAAUACGAUACACGUCGCGAAGAUACAAACAUACGUUCGUAUUUCGCGAGGAUUAGAAUCUUAGGGAUUGAUAGAUAUUUGAUUUGUUUACAAUGUAACAGUAAGUUUGGAAUGUAUGUUUAAUACUCUAAUGCAACGCAUCCGUCAUUAGUUUUUACAAAAUGAUGUAUUUAUUAUAUAGCGAACGAAUGUAGUAUACCGCAAUGUGAAAAUUUUCGACUAAAUAAAUACACGUACUCGCAUUCGUGCCAAGGAUCGCUCCUUAAUUUUUACCGGAUUAUUCUUUUUUCCCCCAAUAGUAACGAUGAUAUUAAUAAUAAUAGUGCAUUCCCGGUUUUAACGACACGUUGUUGACGAGGCGAAAUAUUGUUAAAUAAAUAAAUUGGAACCCGACAUCUAAGUAAAUGCGCAACUCUUCUGCUGCGAGUAGACAAGCGCAAAACUGUCCAAAAUUUUUCACCGAAGUAAUUCGUCUUGUAAAUGUAUAAUAUUAUAAAAAUUAGACGGGAAAUACAGAGUGUGGGUGAGUGGACGGUUUUCAGAACGGGGAACAAAGGAAACGAAAAUGCAGAGAAACGGAAAGCAAUCAACAAGAAAAAUCUAAUUUAAUAACACAAUUUGAACUAUGAAAUAUUAGAGCAUUGAAUAAACAUAAAAUAUACAAAAUAUAAAAUCUUAAAUACAAACAAUAAAUUCACACUAAUAAUAAUGAUUAACGCAAUUUUUCGGUCUUUCUGAUCAUUGAAUUGGUAUAUUUGAUUGUAUUGAGCAGGGUCAGCAGGGUCUAUGCAUGUAUGUAUGUAAUGUAGUACUUGUAUACACGAGUUUUUUAUGAUUAAAAAAAAAAAAAAACGCAUUACCGUUUGUUGUCGUAUAUUACAAUGGCACACUUUGGGCAAUAUUCAAGUACAUAAUAUAGAG